ACCGACAUGGCGCAACUGGGAGCGCAGGUCCCCUACAAGGACAAGGUUGUGAGUUCAAGUCUCUCUGUCGGUA
rnacentral:tRNA from 1 species